ensembl:lncRNA
AUGGCUCCAGUGCGCUCAUGUCCAAUAUGCUAUAAGGUUGUGGUUGGCUUUAGUCAGCACCUUAGGUAUGUACACCAUGUGAGGAACAGUGAGGAGAGGGUACUCCUCUGUAAGUGGCAGUCAGGCCGUGUCAAUGUCAGGCAGGAGCAGUGUCCAGUGUCAGGAUGCUCCACACAUCUUAGCAGACUGGACCGGCAUAUAGACUCCCACUCAGAGCUCAACAGAGCACAGAGGAGACAGGUUUUAGAGGACCUUAGGAGACGGCUGACGAUGGAGAGGCUGGCGGUGUUGAGGGCAUCGACCCCUGACAUCCCUAUGGCGACAGAUUUAGACAUUGUGGAGACUGUAAGGAGAGAAGAGGAGGAGGAGGAAAUGUUAUGUUCACCUACAGAAGCAGAGGAGGAAGUGGACUGCAAAGAGGAUUCCUGCCACUGCCAUGCACCAAUCCUGAGACUGAAAAAAGCUGUAAAAGAGAGGGAUGAGGCACUGCAUACAAGAAGUGAGACCAACAAAUCCAUUAAAGAGGACAACCUUAAGUUGAUCUCUGAUCUGCAAAGGUUGAGAAAGAAGUACCAGCUGCUGAAAAGGCAGAUGGGGAUUGGCAUGGUGAAGGCCCUCAACUUUCAGGCAGAGUCAGACACAGACACAAAUCAAGAGGAGCAGGACCAAGCUAGAGGUUCAGGGGACCAGAGAGAGGAGCCUACAGUGUCCGGGUCAAGCUGCAAACUCAUCUUCCCGGGCUCUGCUAUGAGUGUGUUUAUCGAGGGAUUCAGGAAGACCUGUGAGGGCCCUAAUCCAAAUUAUAAGCUGAGUGAAAAUUGUGCCUCAAAGGUCAAGAGGGUGACGCAAUUUUUAAACUACAUGGCGAAGAAUGAGACCUACCAGUCCUCUCUCAUUUUCCUGACAGACCAUGACAAAAUAAGGAAGUAAGCAGAAUAAUUUUUUCUCUCUAGCCUCACAAGCAUUAACCAACAAUACAGUAUUUGAUUGUAUGAUUUGUGUGUGUGUGUGUGUGUGUGUGUGUGUGUGUGUUUUUAGAUGGGUUCAAUUCCUCCAGAAGAACAAGGCAAUCACCACAGUCAACCACUACACCUUGACUAUUGGUGCAUUUCUUAAAUAUUCUGAGGAGACCCCUCCAUCUGGCUGCCGGCUGACCGUGAACCAAUGGAGGGGGAUCAACCGGUUGAUGAAGGGCAUUAGCAAGUCCAUGAGACGACCAGUUUCCCUUCACCAGAUAAAGGUGAAGGACAACAAGGAAGGCAAGGUGGUGUCCAAAAAGAGCCUGCUGCAGUGCCAGUCUCUUGCCAAGGCCAAAAUCCCUCAAGUGCUGAGUAAGUUUUUCUCAAUCUGUGAUGUCACUGUUUUUACACACUUAUAGACGUCAGAGAUGUAUAGAAUGCAUUAUGGAGUGGGAUUAUGAAGCUGCCUUUUUUUAUUUUCAUGUUCACAGAAACAUUGGAAGAAACAAGGACACAGAGGAAUCAGUACAGGUUUUAUGGGUACCUGUGUGCCUACUUUACAUCCAUAUACGGCCACAGACCAGGCCUAUAUAAAAACAUGUUGGUGAAAGAGGUGGAGGAGGCAAAAUGUGACCAGUCUGGGGUGUACCUGAUCAAUGUAAGUCUAUGAAAUACAGCUGGCUGUGUUUAUUUGUUUGUUUGCUUGGUUGGUUAUCUUUGGAAACAAUUGCAGUCGCAGGAGCGUAAUGUGUUUUUUUGUGUUUUUUCUCUGUUCAAUUUCUAUUAGGUGGGGGAACACAAAACAAAUCGGGAGUACGGCAUGGUCCAGAUGUCGCUGACAAAGGAGGAGUACAGCUGGUUUUCCGACUUCCUCAAAUUCAAGCACUGUCUCUUAGGGGGAAAGAAGGCCCAGCACUUCUUUUUCAAUUCAACAAACACUCAGAUGAAGAACCUGCUUGCCUACCUGAGGGAGGUGUGGAAGGAGAUGGGUCUGCCCGAAUGUCCUUCAUUCACUGACCUGAGGACCUCCAUUGUCACUCAUGUAGGUCAGAUUAGAUAGGAAUCUAAUUAAUGUAAGAUCCUAUUCUAUUGUUGUCUGAAGUAAUAUCAAUAAUAUCAUAUAUUUGUGUGUGUGUGUGUGUGUGUGUCUUACAGGUAAAAAACAUGCUCCCAAAGGUUGACAGGGAAAGGGUGGCCAACUUCAUGUGCCACAACAUCCAGACGGCAGACAAAUAUUAUGCCAUGAAUUUAAAUCCAACCCAAGCAAAUGAAACCAGGGCACUCUUUGAGGCUGCACUGAAGGGGGAAGAUAACACAGUCGCCGCAGAGAACCAGCCCUCCACCUCAGGAGAAAGAAAGCAGAAGGUGAGAGAGGAUGCCUCCCUCUCCGACGGGAGCACCACCCCUGAAGAGACCAAGGUGAUGUACCAGGAGUCUGGCACGUCCGCCGGUGACUCGGAAGAGGAGGAAGAGGAUGAAGAUGAGGAACAGAUGGCCAGACAACUUCCAGUAAGAUCAGCUAUUCUGACAGGACACAUUUGAUUAUCAAAAUGUACUUGUAAACUAUGUAACAGUCAAGUGUGAAUUCUGAGAUGUAUCUAAUUUCUUGUGUUUGCUCUGUCAGGAGACACCUUCCAAGGUGACCAAUCCUCAGGUGGAGAUGGAACUUACCCCAAAGAGGAAGCGGAGCAUCUGCACACGCCGCAUGGAGGUCGCCAUCAGCCCCAUGCUAGUCUCACCCCUCAAAGUGAGGCUCAAGUCGCCCCCCCACCAGUCCCUCAUUGUCACAUUAAAAGGGAUGCAACAACUAAACUCAAAUAAAGUCAGACUAAAAAAUGCCAUUGCCUCAAGGAGGUUAAAGCUGCAGGAGAAGGUGCAAAAGAGAGGAGGGGACCCCUGAUGCAGCUCGAAGGAAGGGGAGCCGACCAACAACAAGACUUCCUCUUCCAAAUAGUCAUGUAGAUUGUUUUAGACUCUCACAUUUAUACUGUUCUGAUUUUGUUUGGUUUGAUUUUCAAUUUUGGUGUGCUUGUUUACAUUUUAGAAGUGUAAAAUGUGUGUAAUUUAGUCUAACUGUCUGUUCAAUUUUCUAUUUUGGUGUGAUUCUUUAUAAUGUAAAGGUUUGUUCUGUUUUAUUAAAUAACUAGUUUAGUAAUUAUUUGUGUUGUGCUUUCUUUAAGGUUAUAUUCUAACUGUCUGUUCAAUUUUCUAUAUUCUACAAUUUUCUAUAUUCUAUAAACAUUCACUGUCUUGUGUUGUUGUCUGUGAAGGUAGGAACAAAUAUUUAGGCAUUAUUGGCAUGGGAAUCAUAUGUUUACAUUGGCAAAGCAAAUUAAGUAGAUAAUAAACAAAAGUGAAAUAAA